rnacentral:rRNA from 1 species
GAUGAACGCUAGCGGCAGGCUUAAUACAUGCAAGUCGUGGGGCAGCAUGAGUGUAGCAAUACAUUUGAUGGCGACCGGCAAACGGGUGCGGAACACGUACACAACCUUCCUAUAAGUGGGGAAUAGCCCAGAGAAAUUUGGAUUAAUACCCCGUAACAUAACGAUGUGGCAUCACAUUGUUAUUAUAGCUUCGGCGCUUAUUGAUGGGUGUGCGGCUGAUUAGAUAGUUGGCGGGGUAACGGCCCACCAAGUCUACGAUCAGUAGCUGAUGUGAGAGCAUGAUCAGCCACACGGGCACUGAGACACGGGCCCGACUCCUACGGGAGGCAGCAGUAAGGAAUAUUGGUCAAUGGACGCAAGUCUGAACCAGCCAUGCCGCGUGAAGGAUUAAGGUCCUCUGGAUUGUAAACUUCUUUUAUCUGGGACGAAAAAAGGCAUUUCUAAGUCACUUGACGGUACCAGAUGAAUAAGCACCGGCUAACUCCGUGCCAGCCGCCGCCGUAA